rnacentral:rRNA from 1 species
AACGAACGCUGGCGGCAGGCCUAAUACAUGCAAGUCGAGCGCGCCUUGGGUACUUGUACCCAAGUGUGAGCGGCGGACGGGUUAGUAACGCGUGGGAACAUACCCUUCUCUGGGGAAUAGCCUUUGGAAACGAAGAGUAAUACCGCAUAAGCCCCUCGGGGGAAAGAUUUAUCGGUGAAGGAUUGGCCCGCGUUAGAUUAGGUAGUUGGUGAGGUAACGGCUCACCAAGCCUACGAUCUAUAGCUGGUUUGAGAGGAUGAUCAGCAACACUGGGACUGAGACACGGCCCAGACUCCUACGGGAGGCAGCAGUAGGGAAUCUUGGACAAUGGGCGCAAGCCUGAUCCAGCCAUGCCGCGUGAGUGAAGAAGGCC